rnacentral:rRNA from 1 species
ACCAGACUCCUACGGGAGGCAGCAGUGGGGGAUAUUGCACAAUGGGGGAAACCCUGGUGCAGCGACGCCGCGUGUGGGAAGACGGUCCUCUGGAUUGUAAACCACUGUCCCCAGGGACGAAGAUGACGGUACCUGGGGAGGAAGCUCCGGCUAACUACGUGCCAGCAGCCGCGGUAAUACGUAGGGAGCGAGCGUUGUCCGGAUUUAUUGGGUUUAAAGGGUGCGCAGGCGGAAGAUCAAGUCAGCGGUAAAUUUGAGGGGCUAAACCUCUUCGAGCCGUUGAAACUGGUUUUCUUGAGUGAGCGAGAAGUAUGCGGAAUGCGUGGUGUAGCGGUGAAAUGCAUAGACAUCACGCAGAACUCCGAUUGCGAAGGCAGCAUACCGGCGUUCAACUGACGCUCAUGCACGAAAGUGUGGGUAUCGAACAGGAUUAGAUACCCCCGUACA